UACGAAGGGGGCUAGCGUUGUUCGGAAUUACUGGGGCGUAAAGCGCGCGCAGGCGGUCCUUCAAGUCAGAGGUGAAAGGCCCCAGAGCUCAACUCUGGAAUGGCCUUUGAGACUAGAGGACUUGGGUACGGGAGAGGUGAGUGGAAUUCCGAGUGUAGAGGUGAAAAUGCGCAGAUAUCAGGAAGAACACCCGUGGCUAAGGCGGCUCUCUAGUACGGUACUGACGCUGAGACGCGAAAGCGUGGGGAGCGAACAGG
rnacentral:rRNA from 1 species